CCUACGGGUGGCAGCAGUAGGGAAUAUUCCACAAUGGGCGAAAGCCUGAUGGAGCAACGCCGCGUGGGUGAAGAAGGCCUUAGGAUCGUAAAACUUUGUUUUUAGAGAAGAAAGUUCGUGAGCGUAACCGUUUAUGUUUCUACGUUAUCUAAAAAGAAAGCCACGGCCAACUACGGGCGAGCAGCCGCGGUAAUACGUAGGUGGCAAGAGUUAUCCGGAUUUAUUGGGAGUAAAGGGAACGCAGACGGUCUUUUAAGUCUGUUGUGAAAGCCUUCGGCUUAACCGGAGUAUUGCAUUGGAUACUGGCAGCCUUGAGUGCAGAAGAGGAGGGUGGAACUCGAUGUGUAGCGGUGAAAUGCGUAGAUAUAUGGAAGAACACCAGUGGCGAAAGCAGCUCUCUAAUCUGUAACUGACGCUGAGGUUCGAAAGCGUGGGUAGCAAACAGGAUUAGAUACCCCAGUAGUC
rnacentral:rRNA from 1 species